UCCAGUUGAUCCUGCUGGAGACCACCGCUAUUGGUGUUCGAUUAAGCCAUGCACGUCAGGGCCGUCGGUAAGAUGGCCCGGCAGACAGCUCAGUAACACGUGGACAACCUACCCUUAGGAGGGGGAUAAUCUCGGGAAACUGAGGAUAAUACCCCAUAGGCGGCAGAUUCUGAAUGAUUGCUGCUUAAAUGCGCUAACCUAUAUCCCGGUUGGUAUUGCCUAAGGAUGGGUCUGCGGCGGAUUAGGCUGAUGUUAGGGUAACUGCCUAACAUACCUAAAAUCUGUACCGGCUAUGAGAGUAGGAGCCGGGAGAUGGAUACUGAGACAAGGAUCCAGGCUCUACGGAGCGCAGCAGGCGCGGAAACUCUGCAAUGCGCGCAAGCGUGACAGGGGAACACCAAGUGCCUCCCAUAAAGAGGCUUUUGAGGUAUGUAAAAAGUACCUAGAAUAAGGGGUGGGCAAGACUAGUGCCAGCCUCCGCGGUAAAACUAGCAACCCAAGUGGUGGUCGUUUUUAUUUGGCUUAAAGCGUCCGUAGUCGGAUAUGUAAGUUUCCUGUGAAAUCCUAGCGCUUAACGUUAGGGCUUGCAGGGAAUACUGCUUAUCUUGGAGCCGGGAGAGGUUGGGGGUAUUCCUGGGGUAGCGGCGAAAUGCUAUAAUCCUAGGAGGACCACCGACAGCGAAGGCACCCAACUAGAACGGGCUCGACGAUGAGGGACGAGAGCUAGGGGAGCAAACCGGAUUAGAUACCCGGGUAGUCCUAGCCGUAAACGAUGCAGGCUGUGUGUUCCCUGAACCUCGAGUUCAGGGAGUGCUGAAGGGAAACCGUUAAGCCUGCCGCCUGGGGAGUACGGUCGCAAGGCUGAAACUUAAAGGAAUUGGCGGGGGAGCACCACAAGGGGUGGAGUCUGCGGUUUAAUUGGAUACAACGCCGAGAAACUUACCAGGGGCGACGGCAGUAUGAAGGCCAGAUUAAAGUUCUUGCCGAACGAGCCGAGAGGUAGUGCAUGGCCGUCGUCAGCUCGUACCGUGAGGCGUGCGGUUAAGUCCGUUAACGAGCGAGACCCGUGCUUCUAUUUGCCACUUUCUCCGUAAGGAGGGAGGCACUAUAGAAGGACCGCUGGCGAUGAGUCAGAGGAAGGCGCGGUCGACGAUAGGUCUGUAUGCUCCGAAUCUCCUGGGCUACACGUGGACUACAAUGGCGUGGACAAUUGGAUGCGACGCCGAAAGGCGAAGCCAAUCCCCUAAACCACGUCUCAGUUCGGAUCGAGGGUUGAAAUUCACCCUCGUGAAGGUGAAAUCCCUAGUAAUCGCUGGUCACUAUCCAGCGGUGAAUAUGUCCCUGCUCCUUGCACACACCGCCCGUCAAACCAACCGAGUGGAAUUCGGACGAGGCUUUCUCUUUCGGGGGAGUCAAGUUCAAGUUUCGCGAGAGGGGUUAAGGCGUAACAAGGUA
rnacentral:rRNA from 1 species